GAGUAGCUGGGAUUACAGGCGCCUGCCACCACGCCUGGCUAAUUUUUGUAUUUUAAGUAGAGAUGGGGUUUCACCAUGUUGGCCAGGCUGGUCUCGAACUCCUGACCUCAGGUGAUCCACUCACCUCGGUCUCCCAAAGUGCUGGGAUUACAGGUGUGAGCCACCGUGUGCGGCCUCAGGGAAUUGAACAGCUUGGACUUGGAGACAGUGAGUUAAAACAGAAAUAAGAAGGCGGCAGAAAAAGACUACCAGAUUGAAAUGUGUUGGAUAUUCAUAUCCACCCAGCACCUCAGAAUGUGGCCAUGGAGGAUGGAGACAGAGAUUGGAGUGAUGCAUCUUCAAGCCUAGGAACACUAAGGAUUGCUGGUAAUCACCAGAAGCUGGAAGAGGCAAGAAAGUGUCCUUUCCUAGAGCCUUCAGAGAGAGCGCAGCCCUGCCAACACCUUGAUUAUAUGCUUCAAGCUUCUAGAAUUGUGAGAGAAUAAAUUUCUGUUGUUAUAAGC
rnacentral:lncRNA from 1 species